rnacentral:rRNA from 1 species
GACGAACGCUGGCGGCAUGCUUAACACAUGCAAGUCGAACGGAAAGGCCCUGCUUUUGUGGGGUGCUCGAGUGGCGAACGGGUGAGUAACACGUGAGUAACCUGCCCUUGACUUUGGGAUAACUUCAGGAAACUGGGGCUAAUACCGGAUAGGAGCUCCUGCUGCAUGGUGGGGGUUGGAAAGUUUCGGCGGUUGGGGAUGGACUCGCGGCUUAUCAGCUUGUUGGUGGGGUAGUGGCUUACCAAGGCUUUGACGGGUAGCCGGCCUGAGAGGGUGACCGGCCACAUUGGGACUGAGAUACGGCCCAGACUCCUACGGGAGGCAGCAGUGGGGAAUAUUGCACAAUGGGCGGAAGCCUGAUGCAGCAACGCCGCGUGCGGGAUGACGGCCUUCGGGUUGUAAACCGCUUUCGCCUGUGACGAAGCGUGAGUGACGGUAAUGGGUAAAGAAGCACCGGCUAACUACGUGCCAGCAGCCGCGGUGAUACGUAGGGUGCGAGCGUUGUCCGGAUUUAUUGGGCGUAAAGGGCUCGUAGGUGGUUGAUCGCGUCGGAAGUGUAAUCUUGGGGCUUAACCCUGAGCGUGCUUUCGAUACGGGUUGACUUGAGGAAGGUAGGGGAGAAUGGAAUUCCUGGUGGAGCGGUGGAAUGCGCAGAUAUCAGGAGGAACACCAGUGGCGAAGGCGGUUCUCUGGGCCUUUCCUGACGCUGAGGAGCGAAAGCGUGGGGAGCGAACAGGCUUAGAUACCCUGGUAGUCCACGCUGUAAACGGUGGGUACUAGGUGUGGGGUCCAUUCCACGGGUUCCGUGCCGUAGCUAACGCUUUAAGUACCCCGCCUGGGGAGUACGGCCGCAAGGCUAAAACUCAAAGGAAUUGACGGGGCCCCGCACAAGCGGCGGAGCAUGCGGAUUAAUUCGAUGCAACGCGUAGAACCUUACCUGGGUUUGACAUGGAUCGGGAGUGCUCAGAGAUGGGUGUGCCUCUUUUGGGGUCGGUUCACAGGUGGUGCAUGGCUGUCGUCAGCUCGUGUCGUGAGAUGUUGGGUUAAGUCCCGCAACGAGCGCAACCCUUGUUCACUGUUGCCAGCACGUUAUGGUGGGGACUCAGUGGAGACCGCCGGGGUCAACUCGGAGGAAGGUGGGGAUGACGUCAAGUCAUCAUGCCCCUUAUGUCCAGGGCUUCACGCAUGCUACAAUGGCUGGUACAGAGAGUGGCGAGCCUGUGAGGGUGAGCGAAUCUCGGAAAGCCGGUCUCAGUUCGGAUUGGGGUCUGCAACUCGACCUCAUGAAGUCGGAGUCGCUAGUAAUCGCAGAUCAGCAACGCUGCGGUGAAUACGUUCCCGGG